rnacentral:tRNA from 4 species
UGGGCUGUAGCCAAGCGGUAAGGCACUAGACUUUGACUCUAUGAUGCGAUGGUUCGAAUCCCUCCAGCCCAGCCA